rnacentral:rRNA from 2 species
CACCUUAAAACUAGUCCUACUAAGUAAAAACAAAACAACAAAAAUAACCCCUAACAUACCAACCUAAUCAAAUAAAACAUUUUCCCCCUUAAGUAUGGGAGACAAAAAAAGGAAUAGGAACUAUAGAGAGAGUACCGCAAGGGAAAAUUGAAAAAGAAAUGAAAAAACUCAAUCAAGCACAAUAAAGCAGACUUCAGACCUCGUACCUUUUGCAUCAUGAUUUAGCUAGUAAUGUUUAAGCAAAAAGAAUUUUAGUUUAACACCCCGAAACCAGGUGAGCUACUCCAAGACAGCUUAUAUAUAGAGCCAACCCGUAUCUGUGGCAAUAGAGUGGGAAGAAUUUUGAGUAGAAGCGACAAACCAACCGAACCUGGUGAUAGCUGGUUGUCAGAGAAAUGAAUAGAAGUUCAGCCUAACCUUAUUAUUUUACCAAUCUGUACAAACAUACAAAGGAUAAACUCAAGAGAUUAGAGUCAGUCAAAAGGGGUACAGCUCUUCUGACUUAAGAAACAACUUUACAAGGAGGCUAAAGACCAUUUUUAUAAAGGUAAAUACCCUGGUGGGCCUAAUAGCAGCCACCCAAAAAGAAAGCGUUAAAGCUCAAGCAACAACCAACCUUAUAUCCCGGUAGUUCCACCUGAAACCCCUAAAAUUAUCUGACCUUUUCACAAACAAUGAAAUAGAUUAUGCUAAUAUGAGUAAUAAGAGAGCUAGACUCUCUCCAAGCACAUGUAUAAAUCGGAACGAACACACACCGAAAAUUAACGUCCCCAACCCUAGAGGGAAAUGUAAGACAAAUAAAAAACAAGAAAACCAAUCAAACAUGAACGUUAACCCUACACUGGUGUGCUUACAAAGAAAGACUAAAAAAAGAAGAAGGAACUCGGCAAAUAAAUUUACGCCUCGCCUGUUUACCAAAAACAUCGCCUCUUGCAUAUCCAAAUAUAAGAGGUCCCGCCUGCCCUGUGACUAUGAGUUUAACGGCCGCGGUAUUUUGACCGUGCAAAGGUAGCGCAAUCACUUGUCUUUUAAAUGAAGACUUGUAUGAAUGGCACAACGAGGGCUUAACUGUCUCCUUCUUUCAGUCAAUGAAAUUGAUCUACCCGUGCAGAAGCGGGUAUACACACAUAAGACGAGAAGACCCUAUGGAGCUUUCAGACGCACAAAAGGACCACCUUAAACAAACCUCUCUAAAGGACUAAACCAAGUAGUACCCUUUUGAAUGUCUUUGGUUGGGGCGACCUCGGGGGAACAAAUAACCCCCGAAAGGAAUAAGAACAAGCUCUUGUAUUUAAGAAUGACAAUUCUAGAAAUCAGAAGAUCUGCCCGUGCGAUCCGGCAAAGCCGAUCGACGAACCAAGUUACCCUAGGGAUAACAGCGCAAUCCCCUUUUAGAGUCCCUAUCAACAAGGGGGUUUACGACCUCGAUGUUGGAUCAGGACAUCCUAAUGGUGCAGCCGCUAUUAAGGGUUCGUUUGUUCAACGAUUAAAGUCCUACGUGAUCUGAGUUCAGACCGGAGCAAUCCAGGUCAGUUUCUAUCUAUGAAGUGAGCUUCUUUAGUACGAAAGGACCAAGAAGAAAAGGCCUAUUCUAACAGAAAGCCUUAUCCCCACCUAUUGAAAUGUCUUAAAUAGACAAAAGGGCACUCCCCUUACGCCGAAGAUAAAGGCAU